rnacentral:rRNA from 1 species
AGGCAGCAUGGGGAAUAUUGCACAAUGGGGGAAACCCUGAUGCAGCCAUGCCGCGUGUGUGAAGAAGGCCUUCGGGUUGUAAAGCACUUUCAGUAGGGAGGAAGGUAGUGUAGUUAACACCUGCAUUAUUUGACGUUACCUACAGAAGAAGCACCGGCUAACUCCGUGCCAGCAGCCGCGGUAAUACGGAGGGUGCGAGCGUUAAUCGGAAUUACUGGGCGUAAAGCGCAUGCAGGCGGCCUGUUAAGUCAGAUGUGAAAGCCCGGGGCUUAACCUCGGAAUUGCAUUUGAAACUGGCAGGCUAGAGUCUUGUAGAGGGGGGUAGGAAUUUCAGGUGUAGCGGUGAAAUGCGUAGAGAUCUGAAGGAAUACCAGUGGCGAAGGCGGCCCCCUGGACAAAGACUGACGCUCAGAUGCGAAAGCGUGGGGAGCAAACAGGAUUAGAUACCCCUGGUAG